rnacentral:rRNA from 1 species
GAUGAACGCUGGCGGCGUGCCUAAUACAUGCAAGUCGAGCGAACAGACGAGGAGCUUGCUCCUCUGACGUUAGCGGCGGACGGGUGAGUAACACGUGGAUAACCUACCUAUAAGACUGGGAUAACUUCGGGAAACCGGAGCUAAUACCGGAUAAUAUAUUGAACCGCAUGGUUCAAUAGUGAAAGACGGUUUUGCUGUCACUUAUAGAUGGAUCCGCGCCGCAUUAGCUAGUUGGUAAGGUAACGGCUUACCAAGGCAACGAUGCGUAGCCGACCUGAGAGGGUGAUCGGCCACACUGGAACUGAGACACGGUCCAGACCCCUACGGAAGGCAGCAGUAGGGAAUCUUCCGCAAUGGGCGAAAGCCUGACGGAGCAACGCCGCGUGAGUGAUGAAGGUCUUCGGAUCGUAAAACUCUGUUAUUAGGGAAGAACAAAUGUGUAAGUAACUAUGCACGUCUUGACGGUACCUAAUCAGAAAGCCACGGCUAACUACGU